GGAAGGGGCAUUCAAAAGUCCAUUGGAACAUGGCGCCAUUGAGGGUGACAGCCCCGUAAGAUCAGCCCCAACCCUCCACCAAAUGAGUCGAGUUGUUUGGGAAUGCAACUCUAAGAGGUGGUAAACUCCAUCUAAGGCUAAAUAUCGACGAGAGACCGAUAGCGAACAAGUACAGUGAUGGAAAGAUGAAAAGCACUUUGAAAAGAGAGUGAAACAGUACGUGAAAUUGUUGGAAGGGAAGGGAUUGGGGAGGAAACCUCUUGCCCCGUGUUUGCGCGCAGUCAAAAGCUGUGCGGGCAUGCUUCGGCUACGCCCGCGCGUUGCCCGGCCGCGUUUAGACACGGCGCGAGCUAGUCCCCCCAAUCCGCCCGUCUUGAAACACGGACCAAGGAGUCUAAUGAUUGUGCGAGUGUGCGGACGUCAGCUCCCAGCGCGUAAUGAAAGUAAGCCGCAGUUCCACUGCGCUCCGGGCACACACGGGUGUGCCUGAGAAAGCACAGCUAUUAGGACCCGAAAAGAUGGUGAACUAUACUUGGAUAGGGUGAAGCCAGAGGAAACUCUGGUGGAGGCUCGCAGCGGUUCUGACGUGCAAAUCGAUCGUCGAAUCUGAGUAUAGGGGCGAAAGACUAAUCGAACCAUCUAGUAGCUGGUUCCUGCCGAAGUUUCCCUCAGG
rnacentral:rRNA from 1 species